rnacentral:snoRNA from 1 species
CCCUCCUACAAAGGCGUACUGUGGUUCCCUGUCUUUGGACACAGAAAAACUGAGGCAAAGAAAUGUGGACUUGGAGAAAUCUGGAGUCAGCUUGCUCCCUGCAGCCUCAAGAUCAACCACCCCACAUAG